CGGCUGUCAGUCUCUCCCCGGUUGCUCCAGUUUACACCGCAGCCUGUGCAGCCAGUCCCAAGUCACCGUGGCCGCUGCUGCAGGGACGCCGCCGAGUGCAGGAGCCGGGGCACUUCCCAUCCACUCCCCUCUCUGUGAUGGUGGGUAUCCCGGGGCUAGAGGAGUUGUGGAAGGCACCGGGCAGCAGCGGAGCGAGGAACAGCUCCAAUACACGCCUGGCAAUUUCGCUCCACAGUCAACCCCAAUCUCCUCUUGCACUCCAUACAGUGUGAUUGUUCUGAUUUGUCAAUCAUUGUUCAUUUCAAACAGUUCAUGGACGCCUUCCUUGACAUAUUUUAUGCUGCAUCGUACAAGGCCCAUGGGAUGAAUAAUACCUCUCAGCCAACAAAGAGAUAUGAAGAAUGAAAUUCAGUAGCCCCCGAAAACGGCGCGCAGAUUGAGAUGUGGGAUUAACCUGUGGUCGUUAUUUAUGAUGCCGUCUGCUAAUGAGCAUGACUGCGGCAUGCAGCGAGCACUGACUCUGCCGGUGGGUAGCUCCAAACCGCAGCAACACAAAGCUAGCCUGGACUGCUGAAAGGAAGGAAACGUGCUUUGUGCUCUCGAUACAUGAUCUAAUCAUGACUCUACUAAGGGGAGAUUUUGCAACAUUGCACUGCAGUUUUAAUGCAAGCUGGGGAUGAAAGAAGGAGCCGUAUUAUUUUGUCAAGAGACCGGGAUAGUUGAUAAACACCCAUAUGGCAAUGACACCGGACAGUUGUGAUCGGCAAUAUUCGGUCACAAGUUGACAGCCAGAUCACUGACAUUUUUAUAGCUCCCGAUUCUUUUGCAGGACUAGAUGGCACAUAAUCGCAGACAACGGGGGCUAAUUGCGGGGAGGUACACAAAAAUGCUGGAGAAACUCAGCGGGUGCAGCAGCAUCUAUGCAGCGAAGGAAAUAGGCAACAUUUCGGGCCGAAACCCUUCUUCAGACUUAUUCUUAAACACUAAUUGUGGGGAGACAGGUAUCAAGAUAGGACGGACCGUUCUGUUAUUAUCGGGAAGACGGUGGAGGAUCUCACCCAUAAAAUCGGCCGCAUUACUCAUCGGAACCUUUUUCAAAUAUCCAUCCAAUUAAGAUAUGGAUUAUAAUUUGUACCACAGAAUUUUGCUGAUGCUACCGAGAGGAAAAAAGAAAAAAAAGAGAAUAAAUAAAUGCAAACAAACAUAAACGUCGAUUAUUGCUGAUCAUUUCAGAUUGUAAAGUUCAGUUACACUUUAAUAGAGUUUAGUAACAAACACUUUAUCGAGCUUUCGAGUCAAGCACUGUCAAUUAAAUAGUUUACUUCAUUGCAACCUCUGGUGAAAUGACCAGCCAUUACUUGAGAUUUCAACAUUAUGUUGUGUAACUUUAACUGUGAAGACAAUAGGAUAUAUUGCAUAUAUUGUGUGAAAUACUGCAUAUAUUUUGUAAUACAUUAAUAUAUGAGUGCCCCAA